GUUAAUGAUUUUGCAUACACACGCACACACGUACACACGUACACACUUGUUUCGUACCGUAAAACCACAUGUGAAAGUAACCUUAAUUGCCCCGUAAAUGUCUGGUUUCUUUAACUUAUUAACUUGCAAAAAGGGUGAAUUAUUCGUGACAAUUCUGCUGGCAAGCCCAUCUGCUUAAAUCAGUCGUUCGCACAAUAAAACUACACUUCCGUUGGCUCCAAACUCGUGCCCAGAAUACGCCUUGCCUCAACGGAACAGCCACAGUUAAUGAUCAUCAGCAAAUCGCUGUUAAACAAAGGAAAUCCGUAAACGUGUCGCGUGAAGGUAUAUAUAUAUAUACGUUCACAAUCAGCACAGCGCACGCUUUGGUACGCCCGUGAUUGAACAGUUUUUUAACUACAAAAGACCACAAACAGUCUAGCAACAUCAUGUCUUUCGACGAGACAUCGGCGGAUCGUAAUGUGGAGAUCUGGAAGAUUAAAAAGCUUAUUAAGAGCUUGGAAAUGGCAAGGGGCAAUGGGACGAGUAUGAUUUCGUUAAUCAUACCUCCAAAGGAUCAAAUUAGUCGUGUAAGCAAGAUGUUAGCCGACGAGUUUGGAACCGCAUCAAACAUCAAAUCCCGCGUAAACCGUCUGUCCGUGCUCGGCGCUAUUACGUCUGUUCAACACAGAUUGAAACUUUACACCAAAGUGCCUCCUAAUGGAUUAGUGAUUUAUUGUGGUACGAUCGUUACGGAGGAGGGCAAAGAGAAGAAGGUCAACAUCGACUUCGAGCCGUUUAAACCAAUCAAUACCUCCCUUUAUUUGUGUGACAACAAAUUUCACACCGAAGCAUUAACUGCACUUCUUGCCGAUGACAAUAAGUUUGGUUUUAUAGUGAUGGAUGGUAACGGGGCUCUGUUCGGCACGCUCCAGGGGAACACGCGCGAGGUGCUGCACAAGUUCACCGUUGAUCUACCGAAAAAGCACGGUCGUGGUGGUCAAUCUGCAUUGCGUUUUGCGCGAUUGCGUAUGGAGAAGCGCCACAACUAUGUGCGGAAGGUAGCCGAGGUUGCCACGCAGCUGUUCAUUACGAAUGACAAACCCAACAUUGCUGGCCUGAUUCUGGCCGGUAGCGCUGACUUCAAGACGGAACUCAGUCAGUCCGACAUGUUCGAUCCGAGAUUGCAAUCGAAGGUCAUCAAGCUGGUGGACGUUUCUUACGGCGGAGAGAACGGUUUUAAUCAGGCAAUCGAGCUGGCAGCUGAAUCGUUACAGAACGUGAAAUUCAUUCAAGAGAAAAAGUUGAUUGGUAGAUACUUUGAUGAAAUAUCGCAGGAUACUGGAAAAUAUUGUUUCGGCGUCGAAGAUACUCUAAAGGCACUAGAGCUGGGAUCGGUAGAAACUCUAAUAUGUUGGGAAAACCUGGAUAUUCAGCGUUACAUAUUAAAGAACCAUGCGAGCGCUACGUCUACUACAGUAUUACACUUAACGCCCGAGCAGGAAAAGGACAAAUCUCAUUUCACUGACAAGGAGAGUGGUGUCGAGAUGGAAUUGGUCGAAUCGCAACCGCUGCUUGAAUGGUUAGCUAACAAUUACAAAUGCUUCGGUGCAACGUUGGAAAUUAUAACGGAUAAAUCGCAGGAAGGUAGUCAAUUUGUCCGUGGGUUCGGUGGAAUCGGAGGAAUCCUUCGCUACAAAGUCGAUUUUCAAUCCUUGCAAGCGGAUGAACCGUUGGAUGAUGUUGAUUUAGACGAUUAUUGAAUUGCUUUCAUGUGCAAUAACACACACAUGGUACACUUUUUUCUCAUUCGGUGUGCAUUAACCAAUUAACAAACGAAUGUUUUUUGUAUGAUUUUGUUUUUGCAAACGAUUUCUUCGAUUCCGCGUCUUUUUUUCUACGCGCAAAAGAAGGGCCGAGCAAUUCGGUCAUGUCGACAGUUUUACGUACAUUCUUUCUACAUAUGUUGUGUGUGUGCCCUAUAAUAUCAGUAGAAGAGAACUAUUACUAGAAUUAAAUCUUGACUCAGUUUACGACCACUUGAACAUUAAAAAAAAAAAACUGCCAACUGCAUGUCUGAGAACAUGUUUAGUGAAUCUUGUAGAGCGUCAAUAUGUUUAUUUCACGUUUGAGUGAGGAUUUGAAUAACAUGUUUGCAUUUGCUAUUUCCAAUUCAUUGUAUCGGUUCUCUUUAAAUGGGGAUGGUAUUCUUCGUCUUUUGGCACUAUAAACGCGAGUAUGGGUUUAGGCUUAACGGAUUUCCGGCUUCCUUCGGAAGACGAUCACGGGUUAAAUACGAUAGCCUAGAUCCAAAAACAACAUACUUCGUACGAUCGGAUUGUUUUGUGUGAGCUUUACGUUGUUAGUUGAGUGUGCUUGUACGGUGCUAGCCUGAGCACAGCACAACCACUAAAAACCAUCCAAUGCGUUUAUGCGCUUUUCCACCAUUACAAUAUUUUUAUACCUACUAACAAUGAUCUCCUCAUUCUCACUCGUUCCUUCAGCAAAGGAAUACUGCGCUAUAAGGUAGACUUUCAAAGCAUGCAGCUGGAUGAGUUGGAUAAUGAUUGUUUCGAUCUGGAGGACUACUAAACCAUCAUUAGGCUGGCGCUGCAUAAUUGAGCAAUGAUGCAUAGAGGAAGAAGGAGGUAAUCAAUGAUUUGCACCUCUUACUAUCGAUCUUAAAAACUAAAUAAUAUAUAAAGCAAAACGUAAGCGCGAAAAAUUUCAUGUUCUAAAUUGAAAGGUAUAAAAGCCACCGGCACAUAAGUAAAACCGUAUGCCCAAGACGUGAGCAGUGGACAAAACAUUAAUAAAAGUAACAAUAAGCAACAAGUAUGCAGAAUAAUAUGGGUAUGAGCUGCUGUUUCCCACUUUUUUUUUGUUACAUAUUUUGUUAUUUGUCAUUUUCAUUGAUCGUUUUGCCAAUAGUACCAAUAGAGAUCGUUGAGAAAAUGUGUAACUUUCGUUGCGAGCACAGCAGCAGUACGGUCAGGUCGUCCUUUAUGAAUAAAAAAGCUAAUAACCUUCAAACAAGAACGCCAUCUGAUAUCUCCACCCUAUUUUAUGUUUUCACGAUGGCUAAGUCAUGACCGACCAGCUAAGUCAUGUCCGCUAUAUUACCGGUUUACUUUGAAGUAUGUGGAUGUAUCGAUACAGUGGCUCCCAUCUAAAACGAGACACUUUAAAAUAGGGCCAAUGGGCGCGUAACACAUUUUCCAAAUUUCCGAACGAGUAACACGGUUAGCAAGACGAUAUGUUUUUUUUUUGUGCCCCUUUGUUAAUUGCAAGAAUAGUUCUUGAAUACAGAGUCCUUGGCGUAGGUUACAUUUCGAGGCAUCCCAUUUUAGAUGGGAGCAGCUGUAUACAAUGGCUAGAUUUAGUGUCUAUCAAAACUCAAAAUUGUUCAUUUGAAUGACGGAAAAAUAAAAACGCUACCCUUCAACUGGUUUACCCUGGA